UAGGGAAUCUUCCACAAUGGACGCAAGUCUGAUGGAGCAACGCCGCGUGAGUGAAGAAGGUUUUCGGACCGUAAAGCUCUGUUGUUGGUGAAGAAGGAUAGAGGUAGUAACUGGCCUUUAUUUGACGGUAAUCAACCAGAAAGUCACGGCUAACUACGUGCCAGCAGCCGCGGUAAUACGUAGGUGGCAAGCGUUGUCCGGAUUUAUUGGGCGUAAAGCGAGCGCAGGCGGAGGAAUAAGUCUGAUGUGAAAGCCCUCGGCUUAACCGAGGAAUUGCAUCGGAAACUGUUUUUCUUGAGUGCAGAAGAGGAGAGUAGAACUCCAUGUGUAGCGGUGGAAUGCGUAGAUAUAUGGAAGAAUACCAGUGGCGAAGGCGGCUCUCUGGUCUGCAACUGACGCUGAGGCUCGAAAGCAUGGGUAGCGAACAGGAUUAGAUACCCUGGUAGUCCAUGCCGUAAACGAUGAGUGCUAAGUGUUGGGAGGCUUCCGCCUCUCAGUGCUGCAGCUAACGCAUUAAGCACUCCGCCUGGGGGAGUACGACCGCAAGGU
rnacentral:rRNA from 1 species